GGCAGAGGGUGCAAACGUUGUUCGGAAUUACUGGGCGUAAAGCGCACGUAGGCGGAUAUUUAAGUCAGGGGUGAAAUCCCAGAGCUCAACUCUGGAACUGCCUUUGAUACUGGGUAUCUUGAGUAUGGAAGAGGUGAGUGGAAUUCCGAGUGUAGAGGUGAAAUUCGUAGAUAUUCGGAGGAACACCAGUGGCGAAGGCGGCUCACUGGUCCAUUACUGACGCUGAGGUGCGAAAGCGUGGGGAGCAAACAGGG
rnacentral:rRNA from 1 species